UUAUGCUAAUAUCACAUAAUGGCCAUACAGCAAGAGAUUGUAACUCCUUAUAAUGUAGUCUAAGAUAUAAACUUUGAAGAAGAACUUUCCCAUCUCUCACAGUUACAUCCUGAGUUUCUAGGUAGAUGUGAAAUUUGGGGGACCCUAUUCAACUCCCUACAGGCAUUCACACUGGGCUCAGCAUGUGGUGGUAAGGUCGUCACCCAUAAUGGCUGGAAGCUCUUUCCUUUACACCCUGAGACAGGCUCCAAGAGACCUGGUCCUGACCUAGUGAGCUCUGCUCCUUCCCCAGAGGACCCCUGAUGACCCCUAAUCUUAGGGGACAAGCCUGCUGACACUGACCAGGCUAGAGGACAUUUGUUUUCUCCCCUCCUUCAGCACCGAGGGCAGCCCUGGAGUUCUUUCUUGAUUUCCCAGAUUCUUUUUUCAGCCCUGUUCUGUUUUCUGAAUCUUUCUUUCCUAUCGAGUUAAGGAGCCUACAAUCCAACCAAAGCCAUGGUCUGAAUGUGGUCGCUACUGAGAGGCCUCCCUUCAGCAUUUCAAGGCGUGGAUAAACCCCUGGAGACUGUUUGUUCGGAUUCCGUAUGACACCAGUUUUCUCGGUCACCCUGUGUCCGACGGCUGGCUAAG